AUGCACCCGGAUGACAUCGCCAAGACGGCGUUUCGGACUCAUCACGGCCACUUCGAGUUCUUGGUGAUGCCCUUUGGCCUCACCAAUGCCCCGGCGACCUUUCAGGCUCUGAUGAACGACGUCCUCAGGCCCUACUUACGCCGGUUUGUGCUCGUUUUCUUUGAUGAUAUUCUGAUCUACAGCGCGUCUUGGGCCGAGCACCUCCAGCACGUCGCCAUCGUCUUCAACGAGCUUCGAGCGCACCACCUCCACCUUAAGCGCUCGAAGUGCUUGUUCGGGACGCCUUCGGUGGCCUACUUGGGCCACGUCAUCUCCGCCGACGGGGUGGCUAUGGACGCCGACAAGGUGGCAGCCGUCUCCGCAUGGCCGACGCCUCACUCUCCGCGGGCUCUCCGCGGGUUCCUCGGCCUCGCCGACUACUACCGGAAAUUUAUUCGGGAGUUCGGGCUCAUCGCGGCGCCCCUCACGCGGUUGCUUCGCCGCGACGCUUUCGCCUAG
rnacentral:rRNA from 1 species